rnacentral:rRNA from 1 species
UACGUAGGAGGCGAGCGUUGUCCGGAAUUACUGGGCGUAAGGAGCGCGUAGGCGGCGCGGUACGACCGCUGUGAAAGCCCCCAGCUCAACUGGGGAGGGUCAGCGGUAACGGCCGUGCUAUGAGUGCAGGAGAGGGAAGUGGAACUCCGGGAGUAGCGGUGAAAUGCGUAGAGACCCGGAGGAACACCAGUGGCGAAGGCGGCUUCCUGGUCUGCGACUGACGCUGUGGCGCGAAAGCUAGGGGAGCAAACAGG